rnacentral:sRNA from 1 species
CUCUAGCCCAGAUGGAAACGGCAUCCUAUUGUGCCAGUCCCGAAACUUCGGGACGGCAGAAUAGAUAUAGUGAACAGCUGGAAAAUGC